CACUUGUCUGCGGACACAUUGCGCUAAACGUUCCAGGCCUGAGCAUGAUUUCAUCAUCACCGUGCAAUGUUCAGACCCAUUGCCAAAAGUGUGUAAAAUCCCAGUCAUGCAGUUUGGUUUACAAUCAUUUGUGAAAUAAUGGGUUGUUCUGAAGAGCUCAGUGAAUUCUAGCCUGCUAUUGUCACGGGAUACCACCUUUGCAACAAGUCAGUUUGUGAAAUUCUUUUCCUACUAUAUAUUUCACAGUCACUUGUAAGUGGUUUUAUUGCAAAGUUAAAGUGUUUAGGAACAGAAACCCAGCCAGAAAGUGGCAGGCCAUGUGAAGUAACUAAGUGUGAAGUGCUAAGGUGCAUAUUGUGUAAAAAUUGCUAAUGCUUUGUGGACUCGAAACUUUAUAGUUCCAAACUUUCUCUGGCAUUAACUCCUGCACAAACAUUGUGCACUGGGAGAUUCAGGGAAUGGGCUUCUAUGGCUGAGCAGCUUCAAGCAAGCCUCACAUCAUCAAACGCAAUGCCAAGAGUCGGAUGGAGUGGUGUAAAGCACACCACCACUGGACUGUGGAGCAGUGGAAACGUGUUAUGUGGAGUGACGAAUCAUGCACCUCUGUCUGGCAGUCGUAUGGAUGAGUCUGUAUUUCCUCUUCAACAAUUCGUCGACAGGUCCUGUGAUUAUUAGGUGAUCUGUGAUGUAGGAGAUCCUGAGAAUGCCUGCUGCUCCAAGGAUGAUUGGCAGGUGGCUUUUCCCAGGAACAGCGGGCUGGAGAUGUGGGAUCUGGAGUGAAGAUAGAAACAGAGGAAGGAAACAAGCACAUUUGGCAGACAGAUCCUUGCAGGUAGACAGCCAAUAAGGAUUGUGUUAUGAAGAGACCUCAUCGUGUUGUGAAAAUAAGGGCUGGAAUUCCAAUGAGGUGUUUUAGGCAGAUGAGAGAAGAGUGGUUUCUGUGGUGAAAGUUACUCCCUUUGC